rnacentral:rRNA from 1 species
UACGUAGGGUGCGAGCGUUGUCCGGAAUCAUUGGGCGUAAAGAGCGUGUAGGCGGCCAAGCAGGUCCGUUGUGAAAACUGGAGGCUUAACCUCCAGACGUCGACGGAAACCGCGUGGCUAGAGUCCGGAAGAGGAGAGUGGAAUUCCUGGUGUAGCGGUGAAAUGCGCAGAUAUCAGGAAGAACACCAAUGGCGAAGGCAGCUCUCUGGGGACGGUACUGACGCUGAGACGCGAAAAGCGUGGGGAGCGAACAGG